rnacentral:RNase_P_RNA from 1 species
AAUACGGUGUGGGCUGUCGCGCAGCGUGUGUUUAGCGCGUUUCGAGGAAAGUCCGGGCAACGGAAACCACCAUACUUCCUAACGGGAAGGCACAUUCUUUUGAGUGUGACAGACAGUGCAGCAGAAAAUAUACCGCCUUUUUGUUUUGCAGAAAGGUAAGGGUGAAAAUGUGGGGUAAGAGCCCACACUUUUGUAUAGUGAUAUACAAACGAGGCAAACCUUAUGGGUUGAAAGAACAAAUAUACCGUCAGCGGAAAGCGUUUUGCUUUUCAAAGUUUAGGUUUCAGGCUUGGCGGGGGGUAGUUCGAUAGAGCGUAGCGGCAACGGUACGCCGAGAUAAAUGGCAGUCGCCUGUUUGCAGGUACAGGACCCGGCUUACAGCACCGUAUUUUUU